rnacentral:rRNA from 1 species
UACGUAGGGGGCAAGCGUUGUCCGGAAUUAUUGGGCGUAAAGCGCGCGUAGGCGGCCCGGUAAGUCCGCUGUGAAAGUCGGGGGCUCAACCCUCGGAUGCCGGUGGAUACUGUCGGGCUUGAGUGCGGAAGAGGCGAGUGGAAUUCCUGGUGUAGCGGUGAAAUGCGCAGAUAUCAGGAGGAACACCGAUUGCGAAGGCAGCUCGCUGGGACGUUACUGACGCUGAGACGCGAAAGCGUGGGGAGCAAACAGG